AUACGGAGGGUGCGAGCGUUGUUCGGAAUUACUGGGCGUAAAGGGCGCGCAGGCGGCUUGAUAAGUCAGAUGUGAAAGCCCACGGCUCAACCGUGGAAGUGCAUCUGAAACUGUCUGGCUUGAGUACUGGAGAGGAAAGUGGAAUUCCUGGUGUAGAGGUGAAAUUCGUAGAUAUCAGGAGGAACACCGGUGGCGAAGGCGACUUUCUGGACAGAUACUGACGCUGAGGCGCGAAAGCGUGGGGAGCAAACAGGAUUAGAUACCCGUGUAGUCC
rnacentral:rRNA from 1 species